UCUCCGGUGAUCCUGCCGGACCUGACUGCUAUCGGAUUGGUACUAAGCCAUGCGAGUCAUUGUAGCAAUACAAGGCGGACGGCUCAGUAACACGUAGUCAACCUAACCUAUGGACGUGGAUAACCUCGGGAAACUGAGAAUAAACCGCGAUAGAUCAUUAUGCCUGGAAUGGCUUAUGGUUCAAACAAUUUAUUGCCGUAGGAUGGGACUGCGGCCUAUCAGCUUGUUGGUGAGGUAAUGGCCCACCAAGGCUAUAACAGGUACGGGCUCUGAGAGGAGAAGCCCGGAGAUGGGUACUGAGACACGGACCCAGGCCCUAUGGGGCGCAGCAGGCGAGAAACCUUAGCAAUGUGCGAAAGCACGACUAGGUUAAUCCGAGUGAUUUCUGUUGAAGAAAUCUUUUGUCAGUCGUAAAACCACAGACGAAUAAGGGGUGGGCAAGUCUGGUGUCAGCCGCCGCGGUAAUACCAGCACCUCGAGUGGUCAGGAGGUUUAUUGGGCCUAAAGCAUCCGUAGCCGGCUACGCAAGUCUCCGGUUAAAUCCAGCUGCUCAACAGAUGGGCUGCCGGAGAUACUACAUAGCUAGGGAGCGGGAGAGGUAGACGGUAUUCUGUGGGUAGGGGUAAAAUCCACUGAUCCAUAGAGGACCACCAGUGGCGAAGGCGGUCUACCAGAACGCGUUCGACGGUGAGGGAUGAAAGCUGGGGGAGCAAACCGGAUUAGAUACCCGGGUAGUCCCAGCUGUAAACGAUGCAAACUCGGUGAUGCAUUGGCUUAUGGCCAAUGCAGUGCCGCAGGGAAGCCGUUAAGUUUGCCGCCUGGGAAGUACGGACGCAAGUCUGAAACUUAAGGGAAUGGCGGGGGAGCACAAG
rnacentral:rRNA from 1 species